UAUAGGGUAAUGUAUUUAGCAUUGUAUCUUUUGGUGAUAUAAGUGGUAGUUUAACCCCCUAUAA
rnacentral:tRNA from 1 species